GGCGUGCCCCGCAACAGCUUCCGGCGUGACGCAGUAGAAAAGGUGGCGUGGCUGGCGAUUCGUGUUCGUGAGGGCCUUUUCUGACCAAGAUAAUACAUUUUUUCUCAAGUCUCCAACUUCAAGAAUUGUACAAAUAUGACUGUGACAUCGCUUAAAAAUAUAGGAAAACUUAAAAAAUUGUACAAAUAAAAUGAAUCAUGUCUAUGACUUAUUAAUGGAACUUCAGUGGCAACUCAGAGAAGGACAUGUUUGCUUCCCCUUCCGCCAUGAUUCUAAGUUUCCUGAGGCCUCCACAGCCAUGCAGAACUGAGCUCUCUGUACAUCCUCAACCAGAGCCACAGCUUCCUCGCCAUUUUCUGGAUGCUGCUCCCUCACCCAGGUCUGGAUCUCCUCUGGCAAGAUAGUCAGAAACUGCUCCAAAACCAGCAGCUCCAGGAUUUCCUCUUUCGAGUGGGUCUUCGGCCUCAGCCACUGACAACAGAGUUCCCAGAGUUUGCUAAAAGCUUCAUGUGGGCCAGUUACCUCCUGGUAGCAAAACUGCCUGAAGCGCUGACGGGAGGCCUCGGAGUCAGGGCUGUUACCCUGGAGGGCUGAUUUCUGGCCCUGUGUGGGAUCCUUGUUUGAGGAUGGGUGUGCCUCGGUACUCUUCACUGCAGCCAUCAUUUGCUUCAACGAACUGGCUUACUCUGGUUGCCACUUCUACCCUGGAGAUCAGAGUCCAUCUUUCCCACAUCACUGGGAAGCCAUGUUCUCCUGCAAGGAAUGUCUUUCUGUAAUCUGUGGGACAUGAGAGUGUCAGACAUGUGUAAAGACUCACAGCAGAAAAAAAGGGCUCAACUUUGAAGGAUGUCUGAAGAGGAUGGAAAAAGACAAUAUAAACCUAUCAAACAUUC